AGGAAAGUCAUAGUGGUUAUGGUGUUGGCUUGAAACUAAUGUUAGGAGGUUCGAUUCCUUCCUUUCUUG
rnacentral:tRNA from 1 species